ACUCCUGUGGGAGGCAGCAGUGGGGAAUUUUGGACAAUGGGCGAAAGCCUGAUCCAGCAAUGCCGCGUGAGUGAAGAAGGCCUUCGGGUUGUAAAGCUCUUUUGUCAGGGAAGAAACGGUGAAAGCUAAUAUAUUUUGCUAAUGACGGUACCUGAAGAAUAAGCACCGGCUAACUACGUGCCAGCAGCCGCGGUAAUACGUAGGGUGCAAGCGUUAAUCGGAAUUACUAGGCGUAAAGCGUGCGCAGGCGGUUUUUUAAGUCUGAUGUGAAAUCCCCGGGCUCAACCUGGGAAUUGCAUUGGAGACUGCAAGGCUAGAAUCUGGCAGAGGGUGGUAGAAUUCCACGUGUAGCAGUGAAAUGCGUAGAUAUGUGGAGGAACACCGAUGGCGAAGGCAGCCCCCUGGGUCAAGAUUGACGCUCAUGCACGAAAGCGUGGGGAGCAAACAGGAUUAGAAACCCGGGUAGUCCCAUGA
rnacentral:rRNA from 1 species